rnacentral:tRNA from 1 species
UGGGGUAUCGCCAAGCGGUAAGGCACCGGACUUCUGAUUCCGGCAUUCCGAGUUCUGAAUCCUCGUACCCCAGCCA